rnacentral:rRNA from 1 species
GAUGAACGCUAGCUACAGGCUUAACACAUGCAAGUCGCGGGGCAGCAUGGGGGUUGCUUGCAAUCCCCGAUGGCGACCGGCGCACGGGUGAGUAACGCGUAUCCAACCUGCCCUUCACCACGGGAUAACCCGGCGAAAGUCGGACUAAUACCGUAUGUUGUCCAUUGACGGCAUCCGAUUUGGACGAAAGGUUUGGCGGUGAAGGAUGGGGAUGCGUCCGAUUAGCUGGACGGCGGGGUGACGGCCCACCGUGGCGACGAUCGGUAGGGGUUCUGAGAGGAAGGUCCCCACACUGGAACUGAGACACGGCCCAGACUCCUACGGGAGGCAGCAGUGAGGAAUAUUGGUCAAUGGGCGUAAGCCUGAACCAGCCAAGUAGCGUGCAGGAUGACGGCCCUAUGGGUUGUAAACUGCUUUUAUGCGGGGAUAAAGUGGCCCACGUGUGGGUUUUUGCAGGUACCGCAUGAAUAAGAACCGGCUAAUUCCGUG